GUGCUCGCUUCGGCAGCACAUAUACUAAAAUUGGAAUGAUACAGAGAAGAUUAGCAUGGCCCCUGCGNAGAAGAUCAUCAGUAGAUUUCUUAGCAAACCUU
rnacentral:snRNA from 1 species